CAGCUACGAUGCUUCACCCAGACCAUUGCACAUCACAUCAGAGAGGAAGACACAUGUGUGAUUCAUUUUCUUAAGCCUCAAGUCUAAGGAUUUACCUAAGGACCCAGGAAUGUCAUGAGGUCCUGUUUCCUCCUUUUACUUAAAAAAGUCACCUUCAUGUGAAAUAACCUGCUCUUUUGCCAAACCGGUCUGUCAGUAUAAGGAAGCCUGGGAAUGCCUUAGCGGACCUGUAGAAAUCAUUGUGCAUCUGUGAAGAAGGUGUCGGAACCACACGGCUCUGAGGGCAUGGGGAGAAAACAUUCUGUGGACCGUCUGGACUCCAAAGGUUGAAGAAAAGUUUCUCAACAGCCUGCAUCUGCUACCAAAGUUUUCAUGUUGCACGAGCCAGUAUUAAACGUCAGUGAAUUACAGCUUUUUGGUGCAUUAACCUUAACUUUAAGACAUUUACCAAAGGAGUUCUAAUCACUGGAGCCCAGGGGAAACAUUAGUAUUAUAAUCUAUACUGCAGCCCAGUAUUGAAAACUUUAUUAGCAUGCGGGAUGAUAUAUCAAGAUCUCUAAAAAAAAUGAAUCAUUUUCGCAAUUUGUCUUUGCAACCAUUAAAACUUUCUAUAAACACAGAUCUAUGCAUCCAAUAAAGAGCAUCCAAUAUGAUGCUUUUUGUAUGCUCAAAUAUUUCAAAAUUUAGGAUAACAGUGGUAGUGGCAAUGAAACUGAUAUCUAUGUUCCUUGUUCUGUCCCCCCUCGGGCAUAGAGAAAUAUCUGUUUUUAGCCACCAGGUUCCAUGCUAGAUGCCAUGUAAAAAAAAGAUUAUGGAUCGGAUCUCAUUGCCUCUCUUCUUCCCUUCCUGCUUCCUUGUCUUCUUUCCUCCCCUCAGGUAGAUGCAGUCAAAAGCGUAUGUAGGUGUGCUUCUGGUUUUUCUAAGCCUUUGUACAAAAUACAUUAUUUUUUUUCUGAAAACCUUUUCAUUGGCAACAAACCCUAAGAAAGUAGUUGACUCCACAGCCCAGAAAUAGUGGUUACAACACCACUUUCUUGUGCAAAAAAUCUUCUUUUCGCGUGUCCGAGUGCUCGAUAUUCUAACGUUAGGGUUUUUAUCCAUUUAGUUUAUUUGUUAAAUAUUUUUUAAUGUUUGUUUAUUGUUGAGAGAGAGAAAGAGAGGACGUGAGCAGGGGAGGGGCAGAGAGAGAGGGAGACACAGAAUCCGAAGCAGGCUCCAGGCUCCGAGCUGUCAGCACAGAGCCCAAUGGGGGGCUUGAACUUGACAACCGCGAGCUCAUG